UACGUAGGUGGCAAGCGUUAUCCGGAAUUAUUGGGCGUAAAGAGCGCGCAGGUGGUUGAUUAAGUCUGAUGUGAAAGCCCACGGCUUAACCGUGGAGGGUCAUUGGAAACUGGUCGACUUGAGUGCAGAAGAGGGAAGUGGAAUUCCAUGUGUAGCGGUGAAAUGCGUAGAGAUAUGGAGGAACACCAGUGGCGAAGGCGGCUUCCUGGUCUGUAACUGACACUGAGGCGCGAAAGCGUGGGGAGCAAACAGGAUUAGAUACCCGU
rnacentral:rRNA from 1 species